rnacentral:rRNA from 1 species
GAAGGCCAGGCUGAAGACUUUGCCGGAUUAGCUGAGAGGUGGUGCAUGGCCGUCGUCAGUUCGUACUGUGAAGCAUCCUGUUAAGUCAGGCAACGAGCGAGACCCACGCCCACAGUUGCCAGCGUACUCUCCGGAGUGACGGGUACACUGUGGGGACCGCCGCUGCUAAAGCGGAGGAAGGAAUGGGCAACGGUAGGUCAGUAUGCCCCGAAUAUCCCGGGCUACACGCGAGCUACAAUGGUUGGUACAAUGGGUAUCUACCCCGAAAGGGGAUGGAAAUCUCCUAAAGCCAAUCUUAGUCCGGAUUGAGGGCUGCAACUCGCCCUCAUGAAGCUGGAAUCCGUAGUAAUCGCGUUUCAACAGAACGCGGUGAAUACGUCCCUGCUCCUU